rnacentral:rRNA from 1 species
UACGUAGGGUGCAGGCGUUAAUCGGAAUUACUGGGCGUAAAGCGUGCGCAGGCGGUUUGCUAAGACAGGUGUGAAAUCCCCGGGCUUAUCCUGGGAACUGCGCUUGUAACUGGCAAGCUAGAGUGUGGCAGAGGGGGGUGGAAUUCCACGUGUAGCAGUGAAAUGCGUAGAGAUGUGGAGGAACACCGAUGGCGAAGGCAGCCCCCUGGGCUAACACUGACGCUCAUGCACGAAAGCGUGGGGAGCAAACAGG